rnacentral:lncRNA from 1 species
AUGGAGGAACGGAGCAGCCCGACUGAAGGUGUUUCUCCUGUGAAACCAGCUCAGGAAAUCCUCUCUGCACGUGACCCUGCUAGCGAAGGAAAUGCCGCUCCCACUGAGCUCAUCAGCACCCAGCCCUCAUCUGCUGCAGCUCCUCCAUCAGGGGCCUCGCGGGCGCCACCCGGACACCGGCGGGCCCAGAGCGGCCCCGACGAGCCCACCUGUCCAGGCCGCGGCCUCCGCCCAGGCCGGGGCUCCGUGCUGCCGGUGCACAGCGGCAGAACCAGCACCAGGAGCAGCCGGGAGGCGCCCCAUCAACCUGCCACGACCCAGAGCGGUGAGCGAAGCAAACACAAACGAGCCCGAAGUAGCUUCAGUGAUGUUGUGAAGCUGAACAUUCACUCUAGUACACGUUACCAGAUGUGA